AGUCCUGCACAUAGAAAAGCUAUUAGAGGGUGAAAAGAUUUAGAGACUGAAUUGCAUUAUUUAAAUGAUUUUUCAAAUGAUGAUUUAGAGAAUGAGCUUUAAGAAGUCUCUUGGAGAUGCUCUAAGCUGACUAGUUAGAACCAACAAGAAUCCAGUUGGUAACACACCAACAUAUAUAGCUAGAUAGAACUAAUUGGAAAAUAUAUCCAGUAGCAACAAGUUCCACCCAAAACUACUUUGAACCAAUCAAAACCAAAUGGGGAACUAGACUAUAGCAUCAACUAGUUUCAAACAUGCCUAAUAGAACUAGCCAUAACCAAG
rnacentral:lncRNA from 1 species